rnacentral:rRNA from 1 species
GAUGAACGCUAGCGGCGGGCCUAAUACAUGCAAGUUGAACGAGAUUGUUGGUAGCAAUACUGACAUGAAAGUGGCGCACGGGUGCGUAACACGUAUGUAACCUACCUUUAACUGGGGCAUAGCUUCGAGAAAUCGAAAUUAAUACCCCAUAACAUUUAGAAAAGGCAUCUUUUCUUUAUCAAAGUUCCGGCGGUUAAAGAUGGACAUGCGGUGCAUUAGCUUGUUGGUGAGGUAACGGCUCACCAAGGCUACGAUGCAUAGGGGGUCGUGAGAGGAUGAUCCCCCACACUGGUACUGAGACACGGACCAGACUCCUACGGGAGGCAGCAGUAGGGAAUAUUGGGCAAUGGACGAAAGUCUGACCCAGCACGCGCGUGAAGGAUGACUGCCCUAU